rnacentral:lncRNA from 1 species
UUUUUCAUUUACUUAUUUUCCUUUCAAGAAAGAAAAAGCCUAAAAUCAAAAAUUUAAAGAUGAGGCAUCAUGUGCAUUUAUAGGCCGUCUUGCAAAGGUGAAAGCCUGAGCGCUUCGCAAAGGUCACUUCUGUUGCACGUGAGAGACGGCGUGUGAAUGAGCUCAACCUGAGGCCCCUCGCUGGCCGGCACGGCCUUCGGCGCCUGUGUGGUAGAGCCAUCAGCCAGGCAGAGGCUUAGGAAAUCUCAACCAGUGUGCGUGGAUGCUGAAAACAGUUUACACACAGUAAAAAUGUCUUUGUUUUUGUUCAUUGUUUUCUUUCAAAAAGCUUACACUGGCUCUUUCAUUUUUCUAUUCCAAUGUGUGUAAAUUCCCGUAAUAUGAAAAAGUGCCUAUUUGUCUUUCUCCCAGAUUCAUCCUUCAAAGCUGAAACAAAAUUAAAUUGGGACAUCAGAUGUUAUAAAAUGGCCAGAAAGGACAAGGUUCACUUUGAGAAAGGAGUUAAUGUCCACCACACUACAGAUAAUAACAGAGUACAGAUGAAGUGCUUCAUGAAAAAUGCAACAUUAUGAUAUGUACCCUAAUGCCAACAAGAUGGUGUUUGUGUGGAGAUUUAUUUGGGCUGAGCAUCCUGUGCUUCUGAGAACACCUUAAGCCCAUUACUGCUGUUGCUUUCAUUUUACAACGGAGAGGAACCACACCGAGACAGAGAACUUGGAUUUUUCUUGUCCUGCAAUGCUUUGGAUUUGGUUACUCCUACUGGAUUUUUUUUAAGGACAUGCGUGUAAAAACCAUCUCCAGGGCAAUUUAUAAGGUACUUAAAUAUAAAAAGUAAAUAUGUAUAGUAUAUAUAUUAUUAAAUACAUAAAGUAUAUAUAGUAAAUAUAUAGAUACAUUGAUUUAUAUGUGUAAAGAUGUAAUACUCUUUUCCUUUUGAAAAAGCUGAACAUUUUUAAUUUCAAAACAUGCUUAAAUUUCUGAAAUGCAACAGAAAUUACACACAAAUAUACCUAAUAAGUUUUAGCCAGUUCUCAGAAUACACAUUGGUAAUGACUGGAUAAAAUUCAGAAUGUUGAUUAAGACACAUGGGUUAUAAAAAUCAUAUACCUUUGCUUGCGUCUGUGUGUGUGUGUGUGUGUGUGUGUGUGUGAAUGUGUUGAUUGCUAUACAGAUGUGAAACAUCUUACAUUAUUUAAGGCAAGAAAAAGUUCUCCUUAAAUAUUCUGAGACAACAAAAUGGUAGAUUUAUUAUCCGUGUUGAAUCCAAGUUCACUUGAGAUAAUUUAGUGAAUCUCGUAACUGGAUUUACAGAAACAAGAAAAGAAAUUGAAAGUAGUGACCCAACCUAAGAAGCCAUAAAGAAGAACCAGAAUGUUAGUGUCAUAGUAAAAAGAACAUGACGUACUUUCCAAAGAAUGUGAAAACAAAAUUCCUACAUUUAUAUCUUUAAAAUUUUUAUUGUAAUUAUAUAUGAAGUACAGAUAUGUGUAAAUAUGUGAAAUGCACGUAUAAACACACUCUCCCCACCAAAUGUACUCACAACAAUUUGAUCUGAUCACACAGACUAUAUAGAUCCACAGCCUUCAAAUUAUUUUUCAUAUUCUAUUCAGGUAGGGCAUUAAGCCUGUUUUGAUUAAAAUGAGGAAUAUAUACACACUAUAAAUACACAUACACACACAAACACACACAUACACACACACACACACACACACACACGGUUAACUGAAUAAAAAUUGCAUUUACCUACCACUCCAAAAUCUGUUCUGUACAUAAUACGAAAUAUCUUUGAAAAAUACUUUGCAUAUUUGAAAAAAACUAUUACCAUUUGACUACUUUGUUUUGAACAAAGGUUUCACUUUCACACAAAUGCUAUCCAUUAGGCACAGCUUGGAGGAGUCAAUCUAAAAUAGGAUGGGCUCACACAUAUUCCUAUUGCUUCAUGAAUUGGGCCUGAGUGACAGAUGUAAGUACCACAGUAUUCAGGUAAAGUAAUCAGGAACAACAUGAUCCUUCCUUAACCUUGGGACUGGCUUAAAUUAAGAAACUGUAAAUAUUUAAGAGCAGUUAAAAUGCCCUCCCUUAUGAAGUAAAAAUCUAAAGCUAUUUUUGUGGGAACUCUUCACUGUUGUCAUAAUCAUUUUAAUUAAAUUCUCAAUUUUCAGGUGGUCCCUUUAAUUGUUUUUUCCUACUUCUUAAUGUGUUUUACUAAAGCCAUUUCUUUUCUGCAGCUGUGUGUGAUUGAUUUUAAUGGUAGCUGCUUCCUUUUUUUGCCUUCUGUGAAUUACAAUUUUAAAUGGUUACACAUUUUUUGUUUUACUGCCGUUAGCACAGUUCCAUAAAGACAUUUAAGGCUGUUGGUGAACAUUUUCAUUUCCCAUCUGAAAAACCAAGAGCCAAUUUGAAUAUUCCAUAUUGGCCUUUAUGACCUGCUUUAUCUUUUAACAUGUAAAUGAAAGCAUAAUUUUAUAAAGACUGGUAGAUUUCCAUGAAAUUAUAAUUUUUAUUUUGCUCUUUAAAAAAUAUGAAUUCAAUAAACAAGAUAAUAUAUGAUUGUUCUUUUAUAUCUUAUUGUUCACAAAUAAAAC